rnacentral:rRNA from 1 species
CCUACGGGAGGCAGCAGUGAGGAAUAUUGGUCAAUGGGCGCGAGCCUGAACCAGCCAAGUAGCGUGAAGGAUGACUGCCCUACGGGUUGUAAACUUCUUUUAUAAAGGAAUAAAGGGAGGCACGUGUGCAUGUUUGUAGGUACUGUAUGAAUAAGGACCGGCUAACUCCGUGCCAGCAGCCGCGGUAAUACGGAGGUUCCGAGCGUUAUCCGGAUUUAUUGGGUUUAAAGGGAGCGUAGAUGGGUUGUUAAGUCAGUUGUGAAAGUUUGCGGCUCAACCGUAAAAUUGCAAUUGAUACGGGCAGCCUUGAGUACCGUUGAGGUAGGCGGCAUUCGUGGUGUAGCGGU